GAAGGUGGCCUGUGAGGGUUGCUGGAGGUAUCAGAAGUGCGAAUGCUGACAUAAGUAACGAUAAAGCGGGUGAAAAGCCCGCUCGCCGGAAGACCAAGGGUUCCUGUCCAACGUUAAUCGGGGCAGGGUGAGUCGACCCCUAAGGCGAGGCCGAAAGGCGUAGUCGAUGGGAAACGGGUUAAUAUUCCCGUACUUGGUGUUACUGCGAAGGGGGGACGGAGAAGGCUAUGUUGGCCGGGCGACGGUUGUCCCGGUUUAAGCGUGUAGGUGUGUGUUCCAGGUAAAUCCGGUUCACUUUAACACUGAGGCGUGACGACGAGG
rnacentral:rRNA from 1 species